rnacentral:tRNA from 1 species
UAAUAUGAAGCAAACAUAUUGCAUUUAAUUUCGACUUAAAAGUUAGGUUUACAUAAACCCAUAUUAU